rnacentral:rRNA from 1 species
AGUGAACGCUGGCGGUAGGCCUAACACAUGCAAGUCGAACGGCAGCACAGUAAGAGCUUGCUCUUACGGGUGGCGAGUGGCGGACGGGUGAGGAAUACAUCGGAAUCUACUUUUUCGUGGGGGAUAACGUAGGGAAACUUACGCUAAUACCGCAUACGACCUACGGGUGAAAGCAUGGGAUCUUCGGACCUUGCGCGAUUGAAUGAGCCGAUGUCGGAUUAGCUAGUUGGCGGGGUAAAGGCCCACCAAGGCGACGAUCCGUAGCUGGUCUGAGAGGAUGAUCAGCCACACUGGAACUGAGACACGGUCCAGACUCCUACGGGAGGCAGCAGUGGGGAAUAUUGGACAAUGGGCGCAAGCCUGAUCCAGCCAUACCGCGUGGGUGAAGAAGGCCUUCGGGUUGUAAAGCCCUUUUGUUGGGGAAGAAAAGCAGCAGGUUAAUACCCCGCUGUUCUGACGGUACCCAAAGAAUAAGCACCGGCUAACUUCGUG